AGUGAACGCUGGCGGUAGGCCUAACACAUGCAAGUCGAACGGCAGCACAGUAAGAUCUUGCUCUUACUGGUGGCGAGUGGCGGACGGGUGAGGAAUACAUCGCAAUCUACUUUUUCGUGGGUGAUAACGUAGGGACACUUACGCUAAUACCUCAUACGACCUACGGGUUAAAUCAUGGGAUCUUCGGACCUUGCGCGAUUGAAUGAGCCGAUGUCGGAUUAGCUAGUUGGCGGGGUAAAGGCCCACCAAGGCGACGAUCCGUAGCUGGUCUGAGAGGAUGAUCAGCCACACUGGAACUGAGACACGGUCCAGACUCCUACGGGAGGCAGCAGUGGGGAAUAUUGGACAAUGGGCGAAAGCCUGAUCCAGCCAUACCGCGUGGGUGAAGAAGGCCUUCGGGUGGUAAAGCCCUUUUGUUGGGAAAGAAAAGCAGCAGGUUAAUACCCCGCUGUUCUGACGGUACCCAAAGAAUAAGCACCGGCUAACUUCGUG
rnacentral:rRNA from 1 species